UCGAGGAUCUUCGGCAAUGGGCGCAAGCCUGACCGAGCGACGCCGCGUGUGCGAUGAAGGCCUUCGGGUUGUAAAGCACUGUCGAGGGGGAGGAAAGCCCGCAAGGGUCUGACCUAUCCCUGGAGGAAGCACGGGCUAAGUUCGUGCCAGCAGCCGCGGUAAGACGAACCGUGCGAACGUUGUUCGGAUUCACUGGGCUUAAAGGGCGCGUAGGCGGGCGAUCAAGUCAGGGGUGAAAUCUUUCGGCCCAACCGGAAAAGUGCCUUUGAUACUGGUCGCCUCGAGGGAGGUAGGGGCGUGUGGAACUUCCGGUGGAGCGGUGAAAUGCGUAGAUAUCGGAAGGAACGCCGGUGGCGAAAGCGACGCGCUGGACCUCUUCUGACGCUGAGGCGCGAAAGCCAGGGGAGCAAACGGGAUUAGAUACCCCCGUAGUCC
rnacentral:rRNA from 1 species